GCCACGUAGUGAUAACACUCUAUAUAAACGCGGGCAACUUAAAUCCGGUCCGCGUCUUACGACUAGAGUCCCGUUCUGAUAAGAGCAAUGUUUCUACGAAGAGACUGCCAUUUUUCUACGAUCGGAAACGUUCACGCAACGAAAUGUGAGUGACGACGAAAGAAAUUUCAUGAAACUGAAAAUUAAAAAUUAACCGACGAUUAAUGUACGUUCCUGCUUUGGGUUAAUGGAGCGCAACCUAUGGAAGGGAACGUGAUGACACGCUGCCAACCGAAGAUGGAGGUUUCUUAAGCCCAGGAUUAGAAGACCGUCUAAAAUCCAAGCGCUCUUGUCCUCAUCUCAGAUCGAUCAAAUCAUUGACGUGAGCUCCUUGAAGAGCUUUAAACUUGGCGCAUUAGAUUCCACCAACGCGCACGGAAGCUGUUUCAAUCACGCGCUGCAACAAAUCUGUGGAGAUUUGAAACUGUGAUUCUACAUGACGACAGAAUUGCCGAUGACAGAAAAGAAAACAUAGAGAAUCGCUCGAUUGCCCUUAAUUUCGGAUAAUCAAAGAUUCGUCUGCUGAGAACAGAUUUAUUCUAUGUCUUGCGAAUUUCUGAAAAGCGGGUUGUCGCGGCGCAGAGGUUGCGGCAUAAACGAUGUGCUCGUCGAUGAAUUAAAGCGUAUACCUGGGCUGGUCGUUCGGACAAUCGAUAAUGCCGGGUCGUAAAACUUCGCGCGCUGCACGUAGCGUGUCUGAUACAUAAUGCAAUUCUAUCGAGAGAGUCGAUGUCUCGAGGUGUGAAGCGAAAAGCGCUGGGUCAUUCUUAGUGCCUGCCUCGAAACAGAUCUCGAGACGCCUCAUGUCAAUUACGACCCUAACUCGUACAUCGAUCUUGUGAAGUUGACUUGGAAUGCCUGACUCGAGCGUCGGAAGAACUGGGAACAAGGGCUAAUUGGGAAAUUAGAAACAAGUGUGUUACUCGAAAUAAGUGAUUGUAUGUGCUUACACGAGAGUGCUCCGCUCGAUAAAGUGCGGAUUUCCUUAAAUUUUUUUCUUUUUUUUUUUUUUGCGAACGAGGUCGAUUUUCGUGAUUGCGUGACGUCAUUGCGAAAACGAUUCGGAAUAGUGUCGGAUUUGGUAAAUAUUUGUCGAUACUUGAAAAUCGAGUAGUUUAACGCGUCACGGGGCAUCUCAUCGUGAUUCAAAGCCCGUUCGAUGUGAACCGAAAAAACGGUCUUUCUAUAUUGACACGCCAUAUCAAAUAGAGCCGAGUGUAAAGGCUCGGGGGAUACGUGCCAGAGUGCAUAAAUCGUGGUGUACGAGCAAUUAAGAAGUAAAUCGGAAAAGAGGUAAUUAACGUAGUAUCUAAAGUACGAAGACGCGCAUGCCUCACGGUAAUUAAUUACUUUCAAUGUGAGUUUAGAAAAGUCGGGCGAUCUCUUGGGUAUCAUUACACGGACUUGAAGAAUGGCACGUAACUCGUGAAUAAAAAAAACGUAUAGCGAGUAAAUUUCGAGGAUAGUCCUAAUUACUGAAGCGCACAACAAAGUUGCGUGAAAACUUUAGCGAGGUUACUGGAGAAAAGAAUUCUCUCGCGGGUAUACAGAAAAAUCUUGAAAAAUAUAAGAUCCAAGAGAACACGUGAGUCGCAAAGUCGUUCGUUUUAAAUCCACCGCGAAAAUCAACCUCGUUUCUCGACAAUUCUGGGCAAGCCCGAAUGCGGGCGGUGCCGUAUGUGCUUCGUUAAACUGACAAUAAUCGUCAACCGCGUGUCACGAACUUGUACGUGGGUAAGAGCGAGCGUUGGCAAAUGAAAUUCCGGCUGUGCACUUACGAUGACGUCGUUCCAUGAUUUCACCACUCGAGCAUCAAAAGCGUGAAAAUUCAACUGUUACAGUAUUGCGCAUUUUGCGAAGCAUUGCGAGAAGAAAAUUGUCACAAAGAGAAAAUGGAAGAAAUCUAAGAUUACAAAGGAGAUUAUUCAUGAGUGAUCUUGAAUGAAAAAAAAAAA